GGGUGUUCUUAAAAUACACCGGAAAGAACGGAGGUAAAAAUACUGGAGUGUUUCCUCCACACUGGAAAGAGAGGAGGUGGGGACGGAUAUGGUAUUUGUAGGGCAGCGCUGUGAACAAUGGAGCCAUCAAAAAGGCCUUCUCCCAGCCUCCUCACCAACCACGGACAUUCCUGGCCCAACAAGACCUCCUGGCCAGGUUUUGAGCCCUGCUUCCCAGAUCUGGGGACCCUUCACCUGCCUCUACUACUGCAAAUGAUUGGAUAUUCGUCUGACUUGGCUCUUCCCUAAUGUGUGGAACUAAUUUUGUUCACUCUGUUUCAUGCUGGACCUGGCCUGAAAAUGGGCCCUUAUAUUGUCUUUGCACUUUCCAACUUGCCAAGUUUCUGAAAGAAGGACCAAAGUAAUGCCAAGAACUCCCAGAUGAAGAGGACCUUCCUUAGACCUAUAACAGAUUCACUACUUGACUUCAGAGGGAAGUUUCAGCUAAUUCUCAGGAAAAGGUCAAAACAGGCCUGUGACUGUCCCUUGAAUACUGAAGGUAUAAACAAGCUUCUGGCUCCUCCAGGUCAAGCAGAGGAACACUUUUAUUAGAAUGAAGGGUUACUUCUUUGUUAUUCAAACACACACCCACACACAUCCUCUGUAGUCUCCCUAAUGAAAAACCUCAACAGAUGGAGAGCCUGAGCUCCCAAGUCCGCAGGCUGAGAAGAUGCACUUCACUCAAGGGCCAGUGGGCUGGUACAGACUAGGGAAGAGAAAAGGGACAAAGGCUGCUAGUAUAGGUAAUCACUAUCUUUUAAUACUCCUAACACAUAGAAAUUCGAAAAAUCUUGUUCAGCAAUGUUAGCAGCCUGUGAGCCUCGGAAACUAAUUUGGCUGAUGUGUCUCUGAUAGGGAGCUUGGGGCUGCACCAAGGGGAAACAUUCUCCUCCUGUAUUCUCUCCUCUCUCUCGUUUGAAAGCCUGUACAAAGAAAUGGUACAAAUGGAUGGUUAACUUAAUGAUUCCAUCAGAGGCAGAUUUUUCUCUGUCAGGUCCCUGGAUAAGGUGGAGGUCUGAAAGCCAGGAGACAGAAUAUGUACUUAAUCGCCCUUUCUGACCUGCUUACCAGUGACCAGGACUACUCUCCAGGCCUUUCUUCUGCCACUUCCCCAUUCUUCCUGGCUAGUUCAGUUGGGUCUCAGCACUUCAACUCCUGGCUGGAUCCUGAGUUUUUCUUGGUUGCAGGGAAAGCUCUCACUGUCUGCAUCUCCUUCCCCACCCCCACCUCCCGUUUUGCAGCUGGCCAUUCUGGCUGCCUCACAGCUAUCCUGCCUUAAUUCAUAUUUGAUUGCCUGGACAGAACCACCUAGAAUGUCCAGACGACUGCCACCCCUCAGCCAUGGGCCUGAGAUCCUGCCCUGACCCCUUUCUUCAGACCCCAGGAGGACCCACAAUCUCCCUGAUCCCCACCUUCCCCAAAGUAGUCUCUAGGAAAAAAGCAGAGCUGGCUAAGGCCUGAGACAGAGCCAUUUCUUCCCCUUGGGCAAACGAGGUAGACCCUCCCAGAGACCAAUGCCGGAGAGGCCCGGAUCCGAGCUCCCUUUAUAUGGCCUCCCCCAUCACGGAUCCCGUGGGAAAACCUGACACACAAUGGCGCGGCUGCUCCGGGCACCCUCAACCCAGCGCCCUGCGGCAAGGCCUGGAGCAGCCUGGUGGUCUUGGUGCGCUCCCUUUGCCCUCCCCGCAACCCUCUGCGAGCACUCGUCCCAGGAGAGAGACCCUGGCUAGGGUGGAGGUUGCCUCCCGCAAAGGGCGCUGUUGCUGGGGCCUCCCCUCCCCCAUUCUCUUGUUUUUCUGCUUCUGAGACUCGGGAGGGAGGCGGCAGGCGCCUCCGCAGCCGAUAGAGCAGCUAUUGUGACCUUCCCUUGCAGAGCGGGAACCCAGCCGAGUGUGUACCGCCGGCGGUGGCGGGGGAGGAGGCGACUGUGUGUGCAAACCUCAGUCGGAGAGGGGGUGGCGCUGGGAAAUAAAGGUUUGCAACCUCAGGCAGUUGGGCCCUUCAGAGGGCGUUUGGUUGUGUUUAGACUCGGUUGCUUUCUAACACUAAUUGCAGGCUCAAAAGGAGCGGAAUUUAUUGCGAAGGCCAAGGCGGCUUGUUUAUAAUUUAUGAAGUUUUAAAUGGCUGUGCCGCGGGCCCCAACUUUCUCCUGGGCUGGCAGCCGCGCGGAAACGCGCCCUCCCCCGGCUCGCCGCCCACCCCCACCCACGCCCCUCAGAUGAGUCUCACGCCAAUGGCAGGAACAGAUCCGAGCUAUUAGAAGUCUCGGGAACCUCCAGAGAUGACAGAAGGUGGCAGAUUUGGUCCAAGCCCUCACCCCACUCGAGAGGAGGGCGUCGGGGAAAGCUGUGGCUGCCUGGAGAGGGAGCCCCUGAUCCCACACUUCCUUGGAGCCUGAGUGUGAGAGGAAGCUAAUGUCAGCCGGGCUAGACACCGUUUAAAGUCUAAUCCAUGAAACCCUAAGCCGCAAAUGACACUUGGGGCUUUGCAGACACCCGCAGACUCAGCAGAUACUCCUGCGGUAACACACUGUGCUGGAAAACGCCUGGAGCCAUGACACAUUACGUAUUUUUAUUAUUAUUUAUGGUAGGAAGAGGAGAUGAGGGAAAAUCGGGCUGAAUCUAAGCAGCCUGACAAUUCAGCUAGUUAAUAUUUAGCCAGUUAAGAAAGGUGGUUGUAAUCCCUGCAAGGCAGUGAGCUCUCCUUUGAUUUCUCUAAUAGCUUAAAAAAUAAUUUCUUACAAGACAAUUAGAAAUUCUGCCUAUGGAUGCAAAUUUCAUAGAAAACAAUGUUAAGCCUUGAAAGUGGGUAAAAUGUGCCUUCGAUUGAAGUCAUUUAUUCUGUUGAUACACUUCUACAACAUAUAUAUUUUAAACCUGCUCAGAUAAAGUGAAAUUUAGCAAAAGGAUAUCCCCUCCCACCCCCAAAUCUAACAUGCCAUUUUAAAAACAGCACAAAGGAACAAGGAAACUAAAUAUUAUUUUGAGCCAUCAUUACUUAGUGAAAUACAAACAUCCAAAUAGAAACGAUUGUUGUUCCACCAGAAGAUUAGAAGUUAAAUUAUUUCCACACAAUAGGAAUUUCACUUCGUGUCAUCGGGGAUGUAGUAGGAGUUGCAUUAUUUGUCAAACCAAAUAGAGAUGCGUGGGCUGACUUUGCUGAAAUACAAAAGAAUUGAACCUUAUCUGAAGGCGUUUUCUAAGUGGCCCCUCCCAUAGAAGCCGGGAAGUUGUCCACCCCUAGCAGAAGCCACAUUAAUAUUUACAAAAUGGUUAUAAAUCCUUGAAGACAUUUUUGCCCAUUUUGUAUAAGAAACAGGAGUAAACAAGGUGUUUAUACUUGUUAUGUUUCAUUAAUGAAAUAUUAUUACUUUACAUCUUGGGGAAUGUUUGUUUUCUUUAGAAAUGAACUAAUGAUCACUACAAAGGAAGAAUUCAUGACAGCAUUUCCUAGAGAAAAAGCUUAGGUACGCGUCUCCAAAUGAUGGUUUCUUUUUCUACACCUUAGCUUUUUCAUAGCUCAAUUCUUCUUACAACUUCUCUUGUGUUUUUUCUUUGAUUGUCAGUUUUCUUUCAAAGUUUAUUUUUUGUUACUUAAUGCAGAAAAGUGAGCUCUGGUCUCCCCAGUGUAAAAGUCGAUUGUGUCUAGAAAGAAGGCAGUAAAAACAGCAAAGCAGGCGCUGCUUUCAAAAAGCCCUGCCCAAAUCAUCCCGCCCAGAACCUUCUUAGGUUUGCAUCCUCAUUUCCCCCUCCCCUAAUUUCAAUAGCUGGAAAGUAAUCAAGUAUCCCGAGAACCAAUUUAUGCACUAGACUCCAAAUAAAUAAAAUAUUUUUUUCAAAGUGUCAGUCUGUUUCGGGGCCUUCCAUGGGGAUUGUGCGAGAUAAAGGCAUAGUGAUCUGCUUGCAAGUGUGCAUGAUUAACACAGAUACAGUUCCGACUGGGAAAUUUUUUUAUUCUAAAUAUUUGUUCCAAUAGUACCAGACAAUUUGAAAUCAAUAAACUG
ensembl:lncRNA HAGLR HOXD antisense growth-associated long non-coding RNA